UACAGAGGGUGCGAGCGUUGUCCGGAAUCACUGGGCGUAAAGGGCGUGUAGGCGGCUGGGUAAGCCGCGUGUGAAAUCCCGGGGCUCAACCCCGGAACGGCACGCGGGACUGCUCGGCUCGAGAAUGGUAGAGGCGAGUGGAAUUCCUGGUGUAGCGGUGGAAUGCGUAGAGAUCAGGAAGAACACCGGUGGCGAAGGCGGCUCGCUGGGCCAUUUCUGACGCUGAGGCGCGAAAGCGUGGGGAGCAAACAGG
rnacentral:rRNA from 1 species